CUUCAGUAACCUUAUCAAUGGCAUGUGGGGAUUCCCUAAUCCUUCUUCACUUUUGUCCUAGAGACGGGAUAAACAAUUCGACGAACUUGAAAUUUAGAGGAAUCGGAGAAUCUACGAGCAGUGGCGAUGGAGAUAGAUUCAGGUUCAUUUUCAUGUAACUGAUAUGCCCAUAAUUCCAAAGAUCAAGAGGCACAACACAUCUCUUCUAGUGAGCAUAUCAAGGAACUCCAAGG